UUCAGCUCAGGAGAGUCUCUGUGUCUGAGCUACACAAUUGCUAUGAAGGCAAAUUGUCCUUUAGAAACUUCCCUACUUAGUUUAAAUUUGCUUUUGCUGCAGCAAUGAUGUUUCUGUCCUGGCUUAGUCAGUUUUGUGUUUUUUGAGUUCAUGCUAAUACUGUCUCCAAUUAAACUACAGAGCCAGAGCUGCUGUUCCCCAAAUUUUGUCCUGACUUAGCCCUUGCACAACCCAAACAAUAUCAGUGUUGCUGCAGCAGCUGGUCACACUGGAAACACCACAGCCAGAUCUGGCUCACAGGGGACUUGGCUCAGGACUGGUCCAGGACCCACGGUGCAGCCAGACCUUGCAGGGCUCAGGGAAGUUGUGAAUGCACAAGCAAAGCAGGAAUUGUUCCCGCUGCCUUUGCAUAUUUAAUCUGGGAUUCAAGGGCUUAGCUUUCGAGACAUACCAAAUCUCAGCAGGUCCUGAAAAAUGGGCUCCUCUGUGUAAUUACUUAACAGCAGCAAAAAAAGCUUAGUGUAACAUUUUUAAUAUCAUUUUUUCUGAAUGUCAUUAUUAUAUUCUGUUUAUAAACAAAUUAGAAUAGCAUAUCCAUGGUAAAAGAGAAGAAAUCUUAAUUUUCAAUAACUGCGACUUUAACAGAAUAAAGAAUAGAAGGCUUGUUUUAUAAUUAUUUUCUUUAAACUUUAUUGUGACUUUUUAAGUGCAUAAUGUCUUCAGUAUUUCAUGGGAGGUGAACAAAGAAGCACAAAUCCAUACACCAGAGUCUGCCUCUAGGCACAGUUCAUAGUGAAGAGUCCUCCACUGUUAGAGGGGGGGGAGACAGCUAUGAAAUUAAUGAUGGCUUUGUAGAGCCAGUUCCUCAUGAUAUGGCAUGGAAAUGUGCUGCCUUGGGCAGGAAUACAAAGUAGAGGGUAUGUCCCUCAUUAAAAGUACCUCUAGAGAAAACUGUGAUUAAUCCAAAAUUAUCUAAGAUACAAUUUCUUUGCAAUUCAUGAGGCCUUUGUAUGUUGCCACAUAUGUGUAGCAAGCAAUUACAGAAGAAUCUGCAUUAGCCUUGUGGCACUAACCAAUAGGCAGCAGACUCAAGGGUUCCCCAUUCUGUAUCUGUCCUUACUAAACCUUGGGAGUAAGAUAGAUCAGAUCUGCUACCUCCUCAAUCCCCAUUAGCGCAUUGGAAGGAGUAAAGUAGGGGGGAUUCCUGUUUUCCUACCUUGGUGCAAAGAGUAGAGCUGAUAGUGCUGCCUGCAAGCAGUGGGACUGCCCAGCUGUCUUCCAAAAUGCCUCCCAGGUAAUCUCCUAAAGUAUCUUUCAGCUCUGUGCUAAUCUCAGUCCAGGCCCUCAUUACUUGAUGUUUUCCUGCCCCUCUGAACUGCUGAAGGUGCUGUCCCGUGAUCCCAUAACAAGUUCACUGCAAUGAGUGUAACUAUCCUGGUUUUUGAAUACUUAAGAAAUGGCAGCAGACACCAAAAACUCCCUCUCACUGCAGUCUAGUGACUGCUGAGCCUGGAGCUGGACAGAAAGAGCUACAGACUUUUACCUUUUUAUGCAGAGAAGAAUAUAAUCACACUUUCUACUGUCUUAAAAGUGACUUGGGAGUAUCAGUACAACAUUACUGGUAAAGGCAAGCAUUCAAAAAAGAGUUUGUUUCUAAGAUUGUGAAAUAAUAUAGGUGAAUUUUAAUUUUCAUUCUGUUGUUCUUUGGGUUUUUUUCUGACUUAUUAAACUUCCACAUUUCCAAGUCCCCGCAACUAUUAUGACUAAAAACAUCAUCAUUAUCACUCAUCAUCCACACCAUGGCUGUUGAUAACACUAGCACAUGAAAGCUGAGAUUCUUGGAUAACAAGCAAAUUUUAUGAGCUGUGGGUAACAUUACAGACCUGCUAUAGAUCAGAUAAAAGCCACAUUCAACGUGCAAAUAAAUGCUAGCCUUGGUGGUGGUGUCACCAGAGCCACAAAGCACUGAGAGAUCCCGUCCUCUGUGUGUGGUCCCUUUGGGGUUGAGUAAGGAGGUGCAGGUGGAGCAGUGGUGUAAGAGCAAUAUUGUGCUUUGCUGGUUUCAGUGUUGUCAGUCCAUAGGGCUCCUAACUCACCCUUCACUGGCAUCUCUCUUCUUCUAUUCCUUGGUAAUCCAGAAGCCACUUUUGUGUCUGUGAAAGCAUCUUUCCAGGGUUCUAUUCACCAAAUGGCAAAUAGUUUCAAAAUUCCUGCUGGCUCUCUGGUCCUCUUGUCUUUGCUGAAAGUUUCAGAUGUUGGCUGGUACACUCUGUCCAUGCUAUUGUUAGGAUACAAAUAUUUUUAUAUAAAAAGGAACACAUACAACAUUUUGCAUUCUUGAUCUGAAAGUAUUUUUCUGCCUGAUUAGAAAAUGCAAUGAGCUGAAUUUUCUGUAAAUGUUGAUGCUUUCUUAUUAUAAUUAGUCUGGCUAAUUUCUACAUGAUCAGCCCAAGCUUUCUAAAAUUUUUUCUGCUUAUGACAUGAACUUUGGAACCACUUCAGGAAGCCAGAAAGUGAACAUUCUAUGAAUCAAAAGUGCAGAACAGGUUAUACAGUUAUUGGAAGAACUUAACCGGUCAAAAAAUCUGUCUUGGCAAAUUUUUUUGCAGGAGGCCAGAACAUGGGUGUACCAGGAAGUAUUUUGCACAUAUGCUUUGUUAGUUGAGUUGCUGCUGUGCCAUCUUUGUCUUUUUCUUAGGACAGGCCAAAUUUGGCAGUUUUCUGUACCGCACUCUAAUUCAAGGUCAGAGCAAACCACAACAGUCAAUAAAUGCUCUUUUAUUUUCUUCUUCAGAAAUACUUGUAAAGAACACUUUGGAAACAUGUCAUGUUAUAUUGCAAUGGAGAAAGACAUUCUCAGGACUGGGGGUGCAUUUCUGGCUGUGUUUUACCAGCAGGGGAAAAGCCCUGCACUGCUGCUGGCUGCAGGCAGACAAUGCCGACCUCAAAACCACAACUGUGAAACUGUGGCGCAGUGAGAGGUGACACACUGGGUCUCACAUGGGUGAGGAGUUCUGUGCAAACUUUAUAAAGAAGCCUGGGAAAGGCUGAAGUAACCAAGCACUACAGUAUUUUUUUUAAAUCCUCAGGAAAAAAAUAUGGGAAAGGAUGACAGAGAGGCCAUUUUCUCCUCUCUUCUUCUGUAUGUACUGGUAAUUUUCAAAAGGUUUCCUGAUGCUGCACUGGAAACAGGGCUGAAAUAUGAAACUGCCCAUCUGAAAGUGUGACCUUAUUCCAGUGUUUGUCUUGUAGAUCAAGGAAGCAAAACCAACUCAAGCAACUUCUUUACUGAUGUACAGUGUGCACUGCUUAUCUACACAAGUUGCUGUCACCUUAAGAGAAUAAAGUGCUAUGGCCUUCACUCAGGGACCUUAGCAACAGAAAUGUAAACAGCAUUGAGUACAAAACACAGCAACCUGUGCACUUACAUCAUUGUUAUUAGAACCAGUGCUAACUGACUUCCAGCUUUGAAAGAAAACUGUCUACUUUCUGGAUAGUUACCUACAAGCCAGUCAAAUAAAGGUCAACGUAAAGUUAGGGAAAAAUAAAACAAAGCCUGUGGAGGUGAAACCUGUAUGUGUCAGCUGCUCAUUUCAAAUAUUACUUCAAUUUUUUUUAUCACUGUAGAAAGAAAUCAAUAUUAGGAUUGAACCAAUUCCACACAAAUGGAGCCCACUUAUACUCCACUUUAUGCACGUAUCUUUCUCUCCUCCCAAAUACUCCAGAAAUUUUCUGAAGAGUUCCAAAUCCAGAAGGCUUUAAUGGCAGUUGUCAGUGCUGGGUUGCUUAAUGAUGGGCUUAGAAAAAGGAAAAAAAAAAACUAUUUUAAAACUUGCAACACAGCUCAAACCAAAGUUAUAGGCUGUUGCAGAAAUUACUGGGUGAGGUUCUUUGGGCUAAGUCAAAAUGAAGGUCUAACUAAAGCAUCAUUUUUGGCUUUGUAUCUAUGCAACUGGUUUGCUAAAUUAAGAUCUUAAAAUGUUGAUUAAAUCCCUUUUAAAGUUCUAAAAAACGUUCAUUAGAUGUUCCAUUGAUUUAAAUGUUUUACUGGGAUUUCUCUGGUUCAGUCCCCACAGGAUAUGACAGGAAGCAGGAGGUUUGAGGUGGGGACAUCUCUCUGCUGCAGCUGCAAUGCAAGAAAGGCUGACCCAAGUCACACCAAAAGUCCAGUUUAUGCUACUUGUCAGCAUUUCUCCUUUUGGACAGAAGCAGAAAAUAACAGUGUUCCACGAGUGAAUGCACAAGUGGACUUCACAAAAUCACUGGGCUGUUUGCAGUGGGUAUCUAGAAAUUCAACCUUGUGGUACUUUGAUGUGCAUUAAAGGCAAAGAAGUUUGUCAAAGAAGGCUGGCUGGAGAAAAAAAGGACUUGGUGGAACAUAGUCCAGAAACUGUAAGUACUGAUGUUUCCAUUAUGUUUUUGUUUCAGUGCAUUUAAGAGCAUUAUCUAUAACAUAUAUUUAUAAAUAAAUACAACCAGCCUCCAGACUGGAUGAUAGCUGCAACAAGCUUACUACCAAAAAUUACUAUUUUGCAGUAUUCUAACAAUUAGUACUGUGGAGCCCUAUGGCACCAGGUAUUGCACAAACUUAAAGAGAAGGUGAGUCCUUGUCCCAAGCAGCAAAAUUCUUCUGUCCCCAUAGCUUAGGACACUGCUAACAAUCACGUUCAGUAUUUAUGUCCAUAAAAUGCACUGUGAAUAUAGUAACAGUGAUCCCAGAGCCAUGCUCCAGCACAAACUUCUCUGCCAUUCAUGCUGAGCAGUGGCACUGCCCAUGUGGAAUUUGGCCAACUUUAAGGUUGUUCCCUGAGUAAUGUGUGUAUGUUGUAAGGGCUUUGCUGAAUUAGGACCUUACUUUAUAGAAAACCCAUCUGCUAACAAACACGUUAUGCUUGAUCAAGCUUAGCGUUAAGAUUAAGUGCCUUGUCUCCUCUUUUCACAGCUAAACUCCACUUGUAGUGAGAGUAAUUUAUCUUGAAUUGCUUUAAUGCAGUGUUUAAGUAUGUCUUCUUGGCCACAAAGCAGUUUGCAUGUAUUUCAGUGAGAGGCUUAAAAUCCCAUUCACAUUUUUAAUAUACAGUUUUCUCACAUAAAUUAAUCACAGCUUGGUUGGCAGGUCUUGCAUGAGUAAUAAGGUUGUUGGCACAAACACACACCACGGGUCUGUUAGGUAAAGGAGAAGCUUUUGUUUGCUUCUAUAUUUACACAAGAGGUUUAACUUGUACAAAACAGUUUAAGAUAGUGGUGCUUUACUAGCAGAACACAACAGGCUGUGAGAUAACAUAUCCUCCCCAAAAAGCAUCAACAGAGUACAGAUAAAUCCCCACACACUGGUUUGAAAAUUAAACUCUUGCUAUGCAAAAAAUUUUCACAAAAUGCAGCUUCCAUUGCUUAUGUACACAGGCAGACAACAGCCAGAAACUUGCUGUUAUAUCAAAGAGCCAUGCUCUUGAAAGAAAAUUGAGCUGAAUGCACUUUUUACAUGAGAAAGGAAUGUGCUCUUUUGAGUAAAUAAUGACAAAGUGACAUUUCAGUUUGCUUUCUCUCUUUCAUUCAUAAUUUUGGGAAGUGAUUGCUUGGGGUUUAUAACAUGUAACUCAGAAUUCUGCAAAGUAAGUUUUUUGCUGAAUUUGUCUGAGCAAUAUCUGCACUCAAACAUUCUGCAGUGCAGUUUUGCUCCAUUGCUGUUGUAAAAGCAUGAACUGGAGAGCUUUGUCUCAAUAUCUGUGUAGUGCUCUUGCAAUGUAGGCCUGACCUGAGGUACUCUGCACAUAAUGGGAAUCUUCCACUGCCUCGAUUUAGGGCUUUCAAUCAAGUCUUCUGUAAACAACAAAAGGCAGAAAAGACAAUAUAUUGCAAGGAAUUAACAUUGGAAUGCACAUAUAAUAUCUGUAUGUGUCACUAAUUUUGUGUUAGAUCAGCAAAACAAAUCCCUUUGUACCACUGCAAGGUUGCAUUUGCCAAAAUGAUGUUGUGUAGUUCUACGGUCACCACAAGGAGUGGUUUGGGUUGCUCCUUCAUCACACACUGUUGAAAGCAAUGUAUUAAUUGUUCUUCUCAGAUGGAACAUAACUGUAUGUCUGACACAAACCAUGCACAAGAAAAUUAUAUGAAAAUGUGAGAGGCAGAAUUGGAAUCUUAAGUGCAAAUGGAUUGAAAUGUACGAGUGCAAUUUGUGCCUAAAUUUGACAUGAACUUUUGAAAAAGAAUUAUCAGGCAACCAAGCCAACUCUGCAGCCAAGGAUGCCUUUAAUGCCCAGAGGAACACAUGCCCUGCUCGAGAGGCUGGCAGCAGCUCACAAAUGCAGGAUACGCCGGUGGGAUGUUUCUGCUUGCACCACAAUCAGUCUGUAAACUACAGGGAUGUUCAGGAAGAGCUGGAAGAACAGGAGUGCAACAAGGAAUGGCAUUACUGAUGCUGUGUGUAUUAUUUUGGGGCUUUAUGAAAUCAUCAGUCUAGGAAUUGUUCAAUCUAGGGGAAUCAUUCACAUUUCAAGCUUUGUCAUCUUUUAGAUUUUUGUUAAUAAAAUGUAAAUCUCAGCAAUU